rnacentral:rRNA from 1 species
GACGAACGCUGGCGGCGUGCUUAACACAUGCAAGUCGGACGCUGAAGCUCAGCUUUUGUUGGGUGGAUGAGUGGCGAACGGGUGAGUAACACGUGAGUAACCUGCCUCCUUCUUUGGGAUAACGCCCGGAAACGGGUGCUAAUACUGGAUAUUCACUGGUCUUCGCAUGGGGGUUGGUGGAAAGGGUUUUUCUGGUGGGGGAUGGGCUCGCGGCCUAUCAGCUUGUUGGUGGGGUGAUGGCCUACCAAGGCUUUGGCGGGUAGCCGGCCUGAGAGGGUGACCGGUCACAUUGGGACUGAGAUACGGCCCAGACUCCUACGGGAGGCAGCAGUGGGGAAUAUUGCACAAUGGGCGCAAGCCUGAUGCAGCGACGCCGCGUGAGGGAUGGAGGCCUUCGGGUUGUGAACCUCUUUCGCUCAUGGUCAAGCCGCAACAAUGGUUGUGGUGAGGGUAGUGGGUAAAGAAGCGCCGGCUAACUACGU